AUUGAACGCUGGCGGCAGGCCUAACACAUGCAAGUCGAACGGUAACAGAAAGCAGCUUGCUGCUUUGCUGACGAGUGGCGGACGGGUGAGUAAUGUCUGGGAAACUGCCUGAUGGAGGGGGAUAACUACUGGAAACGGUAGCUAAUACCGCAUAACGUCGCAAGACCAAAGAGGGGGACCUUCGGGCCUCUUGCCAUCGGAUGUGCCCAGAUGGGAUUAGCUAGUAGGUGGGGUAACGGCUCACCUAGGCGACGAUCCCUAGCUGGUCUGAGAGGAUGACCAGCAACACUGGAACUGAGACACGGUCCAGACUCCUACGGGAGGCAGCAGUGGGGAAUAUUGCACAAUGGGCGAAAGCCUGAUGCAGCCAUGCCGCGUGUAUGAAGAAGGCCUUCGGGUUGUAAAGUACUUUCAGCGGGGAGGAAGGGAGUAAAGUUAAUACCUUUGCGCAUUGACGUUACCCGCAGAAGAAGCACCGGCUAACUACGUG
rnacentral:rRNA from 1 species